rfam:Asian citrus Psyllid, Diaphorina citri - Florida Strain, whole genome shotgun sequence.
GCCUAGGUAGUGUGUCUGCCUUGAAAGCACUAGGCUGUGGGUCCGAUUCCCGCCCAGGGCA